rnacentral:rRNA from 1 species
AUUGAACGCUGGCGGCAUGCCUUACACAUGCAAGUCGAACGGCAGCGCGGGAGCAAUCCUGGCGGCGAGUGGCGAACGGGUGAGUAAUAUAUCGGAACGUGCCCUGUAGCGGGGGAUAACCUAUCGAAAGAUGGACUAAUACCGCAUACGCUCUACGGAGGAAAGACGGGGUCGCAAGACCUCGCACUAUAGGAGCGGCCGAUAUCGGAUUAGCUAGNGGCGGGGUAAAGCCCACCAAGGCAACGAUCCGUAGCUGGUCUGAGAGGAUGA